CUAUCAAUGCCCCAGCUACUGACUGCACCUUCAGCAGCUGCCAUCAACUCUCUGCUGACGCCACUGAGGAGACAGCCUUCCUGUCCCAUCACUGCCACCUCAGCCACCUCCAUGGAAGGAGGCCAAUAUCAAUUCUGGAUGUCCUUCUCAAGAAUUCUCAAGGGAACAGCACUUGGCUAGAGUAAUAGCUGAUCUUGACUAUCAACUUGACUACAUCUGGAAUCAACUAAAACUCAAGUGGCUGGGCUACUUGAGGGAGUCUUAAGAGGGAGUUUCUAGAUUAGAUCAUUUGAGGCGGAGAGGCCCACCCUAAACCAGGGCCCCACCUUCUGGUGGCAGCCACAUAAAAGGACAUGGAAGAAGGAAACUUUUGCUUUUUACCGGCUUGCCUUCAUUCUCACUGGUGAGUUCGUGUAUCCAUUGUUGCUGAGGCAACCUUCAUUGGUGUUAGAGCUUGCUUCUUAGGGACUCCAAUGUAGACUAAAGACCAGCAGCUCUCUAGGAAUCCUCCAGGACUCCAGAACCAGACUGGAACUUCUUAGACAACAGUCUUUAGCAAACAGCAAUUGGGUUCUUAGCCUUUGUGCCAGGGGACGGCAUUGUGGGAUUAUCCAGACCCAGCCUGUAAACCUAUCAAAUAAAUCCUGUGUGUGUGUGUG